AAGACUAUAGACCUGCGGAGUACCUGCGGAGGGAUCAUUAUCGUAUUGUAACAAUUGGGGGGGCCACCGUGGGCUGUCGCUGACCCUUUGAAAGGGGGGUCGUGCACGCCCCCAUAGUGUCAUCCUCAUACAAUCCAACUCACCUCUGUGCAUCACCGCGUGGGUUCCUUUCUGGGUCGAGUCAGACUGGCUCAGAAAAAAGGGGCUUGCGUUUUCCAUACAAUACCCUUAUAAAUCCAG
rnacentral:misc_RNA from 1 species